AGCGAACGCUGGCGGCAGGCCUAACACAUGCAAGUCGAACGAACUCUUCGGAGUUAGUGGCGGAUGGGGGAGUAACACGUGGGAACGUGCCUUUAGGUUCGGAAUAACUCAGUGUAAUUUGUGCUAAUACCGAAUGUGCCCUUCGGGGGAAAGAUUUAUCGUCCUUAGAGCGGCCCGCGUCCGAUUAGCUAGUUGGUGAGGUAAAGGCCCACCAAGGCGACGAUCAGUAGCUGGUUUGAGAGGAUGAUCAGCCACAUUGGGACUGAGACACGGCCCAAACUCCUACGGGAGGCAGCAGUGGCGAAUCUUGCGCAAUGGGCGAAAGCCUGACGCAGCCAUGCCGCGUAAAUGAUGAAGGUCGUAGGAUAGUAAAAUUCUUUCACCGGGGACGUUAAUGACGGUACCCGGAGAAGAAGCCCCGGCUAACUUCGUG
rnacentral:rRNA from 1 species